GGGCCGUUAGUUCAUCUGGUAGAACACUGCCAUGGCAUGGCAGAGGUGGCCGGUUCAAGUCCGGCACGGUCCACCA
rnacentral:tRNA from 1 species